AUGGGGUCCUUUAUUCAGCCGGAGGUCUUCUGUGCUGUAGCAAGACUUGCUCAAGGGAUCCGUCUUGCGAUUAGUACGGCAAGCAUGGCCUAUCUUUACCAAAGUCUUGAUAAUGUUUGUCAAGAGAUUAUAGCCGGAUCAAAGUCAGCAAGUGAGUGCCAACUGCCAUUACCUGCACAUUUUAUUAUGGGCUGGUUCUCCUCUUAUUGGAAAAUGACACCUUCGCAAUCAGCGGUGAAUCCAAAAAUUACUCACUUCCCGCCGUUCGUGACGGAUGCAUGGAGAAUCACAUCUACAACAAUUGGUCUAUUCAAAGCCCAUCAAUUGUUCCUUGAUUCAGCUGCUGAUAGCAAAUCUCUGCUUUCCUUAUCUUUCUUGGGGAAAUCUCGCAUACAUUUCCCUCAAUCAGAGUCUGACUUUUUGAUAAGUGAUGCAAGAGAAUCCACAGAUGGCGGACGCCAUACUAUCCGUAUUACAACUAUCGACAUGCUAAUCAGUUGUGGUGUGGGUGCUAUUACACAUACUCAAUGUCAAUUCCAUCACAACUUAGGAUAUUCCCCUCAUCGUUUUGCUCGGAUGCAUGGGUGUGAUCAAGAUGUCCCUGACUUCCUGAUGGAAGGACCCAAUGGAGAAUAUCUUCUGCGGUUUUCUAGUUAUUUGAAGGGCACUCGUGAGGAAACAAUUGAGCAUCUUCAGCGACGACACCUGGCCUAUUGUUUUCCAACCGGUCAUCAGUUUCAUUUACAGCCUUUGUCACGGCGAACCAAGCACUCUAUUGAGUAUGUGACGUGGUGUACAUCAACACUCGGUUUCCUCACUAAAGCUGAUAUGAUCUGUUCAGGUCAAGAACCAUCAUCUGCUCUCUAG
rnacentral:rRNA from 1 species